GAUGAUGUCACCUACCAUGGCUUCCCCAGCCUGCAGGCCCUGGCUGAAACUUUUUCCGGAGCCUGUGGGGACCUUAUGCUGGCUGGGCCCAAGCGUGCUGUUCAGUGCCGACCUGCGCCAAUCCCGCCAUGCUCAGGAGCCACCAGCAAAGCGCAGAAAGGGUUCCAAAGGGCCGGAAGGCUAGAUGGGGCACCCUGGACAAAGAAAUUCCCCAAGCACCUUCCC
rnacentral:lncRNA from 1 species